CAUUUUUUACAAACUAAAGACAAAACCCUCCACCGGCACAAUGAUGACAGCUCGCUUUAUUGCUGUUCUUGCAUCGUGAUGGUGGUCUGGAACGGACCCCGCCAUCUCUCCAAGGUGGUUAUCCUGGUUCUUGUCACCGAUCUGCGCUGUCCGCAGUUACCUGCCUCCCCAGUGCCUGAUGCCCUUACUACUUACGAAAUGUUUGUUGGAUAAAUAAACUGCUUAAUAGUUUUCUGCUUAUGGAACAAGUUGUCUAGAUGCGUCUCAGGUUAGUAUCACAGUUCGUUCCUUUCUAGAAUGUGCAGGUUGGGCUUUCGUUGAUGACAAAAACCUUCCCAGCAUGCAUGACAGUUUCAGAGAAAUCCCAGUAAUUACCUCGAAAGGCCCUGAGUUCCUGACUCCUGGACUUUUAGAGCUGGAAGAGAGAUUGGAGGUCGUCUGAGCCAACGCCAUCCUUCUUUAGGCGAGAGCCGCGCAGUCCGGCGAAGAGAACGGAACUGGCACGUGUUCCACAUCUUGUCAUCUUUGCUGUGAUAUGGAAGUUGUCAUUAGGAUGCUACUUACGGAGCUUCACAAAAACAGACUCAAUCUGUUC